AGUGGGCGUGCUCGUCGUCAACCUGAUCACUUUACUAGAUAAAGGUAUCUACGAGUGGAGAUAUUUCGAGCAACAAUUGACAACCAACUAAAUGAAUUGAAUCUUAGGUUCAAUGAGAAAGUGAUGGAUCUCUUAUCCAUUAGUGUUACAUUGAUUCCAAGAAAUGGAUUUACAUCAUUCAACGCUAAGGAAAUAUGUUCAAUGGUGGAGAAAUAUUAUCCGGCUAAUUUUACACAACAAGAGAGAUAUGGGUUGGAGAUUCAGCUCAACCAUUUUGCUGCAGAUGCUAAAAACAGUGGAGACUUGAAGAAGCCCAUCACCAUAACUUCUUUAUGCCGAUGCCUUGUUGAGACAGGACGAGAUAGAAUUUACAAUUUGCUUGAUAGGUUGCUUCGAUUGCUUGUUACUCUCCCGGUUUCCACUGCAAGUGAUGAGCGUGUUUUCUCGAGCUUGAAGAUUAUCAAGUCAAGGCUACGUAAUCGAAUGGAAGAUGAUUUUCUUGCAGACAGUUUGUUGCUACAAAUUGAACGAGAAAUUGCAUCAAAACUUCCUUGUGAAGAUAUAAUUGCUGAUUUCAAAAGUAGGAAGAACAGAAGAUCGUAUCUUUAG
rnacentral:rRNA from 1 species